AGAAUGAAAAUACAGAUAAUUCACAGUCCAUCAACCCACUUGACCAGUGUGAUAUCAGUGUGCACAGUUUUCUGAAAUCGCAAAGAUGAGUGACCCAGCAGCAAAUGUGCCAACAACUCCUCCCGGGCCUGAUGCAGGGAAGGGAACAGGUGAAGGAGCGCACCAACAUGGAGGAAAAGGAGAUCAUGGCGGAAAAGGUCACCAUCAUGGAGGAAAAGGUCACGAUCAUGGAGGAAAAGGUCAGGAUCACGGAGGAAAAGGUCACAGUGGAAAAGGAGGACAUUAAAGAUAAUCUUACACCUGUUGUAAACAUUGUAAUUAAAAAUUUUCAAUAAAAUGUUCUUGUAAAAUAUAACAGUCAAAUAUUUCUAAGACUAUUUGUAAGACCUUUUGAAACUUAAGCAAAUGUUAAUGCAAUAAAAUGUCAAAAGACAUUUUAAAGUAAGCAAAAACAACAGCCAGGGGCAUCUCAGAUGGUGAAGCAUUCUAAAGUCCUAUUUAGUUGGAGAGAAACAUGUUUUGGACAAGCCUUCAUUAGAUUUACAUUUCGAGGCAGCCUCAUUGAACGAAGCAUAAUUAUGGGUGUCAAUAAGUGGACAUCCACCAACUGGUGAGAAAACAAUUCUGUAGUUGCAAUUGAAGUGACCUAAUUGUAUGACACGUGCAUUUGUUGUCGAGACUUGACACCUAUACUAAACAAAAUACCUUCUAGAUUAAACAUUAUAUUCUUAA